CCUACGGGGCGCAGCAGUGGGGGAUAUUGGACAAUGGGGGAAACCCUGAUCCAGCGACGCCGCGUGAGUGAAGAAGUAUUUCGGUAUGUAAAGCUCUAUCAGCAGGGAAGAAAGAAAUGACGGUACCUGACUAAGAAGCCCCGGCUAACUACGUGCCAGCAGCCGCGGUAAUACGUAGGGGGCAAGCGUUAUCCGGAAUUACUGGGUGUAAAGGGAGCGUAGACGGUAAUGUAAGUCUGGAGUGAAAGGCGGGGGCCCAACCCCCGGACUGCUCUGGAAACUGUUUAACUGGAGUGCAGGAGAGGAAGGCGGAAUUCCUAGUGUAGCGGGGAAAUGCGUAGAUAUUAGGAGGAACACCAGUGGCGAAGGCGGCUUACUGGACUGUAACUGACGUUGAGGCUCGAAAGCGUGGGGAGCAAACAGGAUUAGAUACCCGAGUAGUC
rnacentral:rRNA from 1 species